GACGUAGGGCGCGAGCGUUGUCCGGAUUUAUUGGGCGUAAAGAGCUCGUAGGCGGUUUGUCGCGUCUGCCGUGAAAGUCCGGGGCUCAACUCCGGAUCUGCGGUGGGUACGGGCAGACUAGAGUGAUGUAGGGGAGACUGGAAUUCCUGGUGUAGCGGUGAAAUGCGCAGAUAUCAGGAGGAACACCGAUGGCGAAGGCAGGUCUCUGGGCAUUAACUGACGCUGAGGAGCGAAAGCAUGUGGAGCGAACAGG
rnacentral:rRNA from 1 species